GUGUCAGCCGCCGCGGUAAUACCGGCAGCUCGAGUGAUGGCCAAUCUUAUUGGGCCUAAAGCGUCCGUAGCUGGCCGACCAAGUCUCCCGGGAAAUCCACCCGCCCAACGGGUGGGCGUCCGGUAGAAACUGGCCGGCUUGGAACCGGAAGGCUCAGAGAGUACGUCCGGGGUAGGAGUGAAAUCCCGUAAUCCCGGACGGACUACCGAUGGCGAAAGCACGUCGCGAGGACGGAUCCGACAGUGAGGGACGAAAGCCGGGGUCUCCAACCGGAUUAGAUACCCGUGUAGUCC
rnacentral:rRNA from 1 species